AAAAUGGGGGGAAAUGUUCAUAUUUAAUUUUAUUUUAGAUGAGUAGCCCCAAUUCCAUGACAGCUUCUUUAAAAGAAAGAUUUCUAAAUCUGUGAAAUCGGUUAUCUAAAGUGGCCUGUGUUUCAUGUCCUGUGGUAUGAUAAAUGCUCAAACACAAGCCAAUAAAGCAAAUUCUCUGCUGUUUAUUUAACCAUGGUAGAUUUAACAGUUUAGUUCUUUGCUAGCCCUUAUCAGCAUUAGGUGAUCUAGGGCACAGCUGUCUUUCUUGAAGAAAACAAAUGAGAAUAUUUCUAAUUCAGUUUGAAAACCACAGCUGCAAUUUACCUUGUUGUGAAAAAUGUUGAAAUUUUUGUACCUUAAUUACAGUAGGCUAUUAUUACCUAAUACAAAAUUCUAGCUUCAAAGAUCUAGUUAAAAAGCAACAAUCUGGAAAAUGAUCGAUUAUUCAGAUAGCUAAAACAAAUAGGGCAAGAAAUUACUAGGUUCCUCUCAGGACACAAAUCCCUUCAUUGGUGCGUCUGUGAGUGUUGAG
rnacentral:lncRNA from 1 species